AAGAUUCCCAAACCUGCGACAAGUUUGUGUAGACGAGGGAUUACCUGUUCCUGUACCUAUCAACGGCCGGCUCUCACAUCGUCAAACGCUUUGUCCUCAUAUGAUGAGGCCAUUUCAAUGGCCCGCUCUCACAUAGUCAAACGCUUUGUUCUCAUAUGAUGAGGCCAUUUCUUGUAAGCCCCAUACAUCGAAUUUGUGUUGCAGUUUACUUCAUAAUAAGUUAUGGUUCCUUCAGGUCAAACAUAAUUCGAUUUUAGCCACUUUUGAAGUUUUCUUUAUAGCUAAUCUCGGAUAUUGUGACAAUUGAGAAACUUCCGAGAUUACAAUGAUAUCUAAAGAUUUGAGAAUGGUACACUCAGCAACAUGCUGGAAUCUGAUAAAGAAGGUUGCUGAUGUUCUUUAACGCCUCGAUCUUUACUUUGAACGUUCUUUGUUGAAUGUAAUCUUCCUUUCGAGGAUUCUGAGGAUGAACUAUUAGUCGAAUGGCUGAAUCAUUGCGAGUGUUUCUUUGUUGGAUAUUCGUGGCAAGGUAA
rnacentral:lncRNA from 1 species